rnacentral:rRNA from 1 species
CAUAUCACUCAGCGGAGGAAAAGAAAGUAACUACGAUUCGGUUAGUAGCGGCGAGUGAACACCGAAGAGCCCAGCACCGAAUCCGUGUCGUCGUCUCAGGCGCGCGGACAUGUGGUGUUACGGAGCAGGCGCGGCGAAUCUUGCGCCAGCCAAGUCCGCACGAAAGCGGCCGUUGCCAUAGAAGGUGCCAGUCCUGUACGGCCGGCGCAGGUGCGCUCUGUCUGCUCCAUCGAGUCGGGUUGUUUGGGAAUGCAGCCCCAAGCAGCUGGUAGACACCAGCUAAGGCUAAAUAUUAGUACGAGUCCGAUAGCGAACAAGUACCGUGAGGGACAGUUGAAAAGGACUUUGCAGAGAGAGUUAACAGUACGUGAAACCGUUCAGAGGAAAACGGGUGAAAUCGUAAAGGUGGCGUACAGUUCAGGGCUGGUGCGCGCUUUGCGCGUACGUGCUGCUCCGAUUCGUAUUCGAACGGCGGCGCGUGCGCUGCAAUGCCGAUCGGCCUGCACUCUGUACGUCACGCGCCGCAACCGGUGGCGUCUCAACAUCGGCCCGGCGGGAAGGUAGCUGUGCUCGGCCAUGUGUCGUUCGCAGUGUUAAGACCGCCGUGUGUCGGGUACGAGGCGCUACCGAGGCUGCUGUAUCGUUCUCGCCCCUCAAGGGCGCCGUCCGGCCCGUGCGUAAACGAGCACGUCGUUCGCUUGCCUGGCAACUGAGCGACGAUGUAAGGGUGCGCGCGUGUCGCUGCGGCGUGAGAGCGACAGGUUAGCGGCGUUUGUCGGACCUUCACCCGACCCGUCUUGAAACACGGACCAAGGAGUCUAGCAUGUGCGCGAGUCAUUGGGCACUCUUUGAAACCCACAGGCGCAAUGAAAGUAAAUGCAGGUGGGAUCGUGCACCGCCGCAGCAAUGCGGUUGGUGUGCGCGCACCACCGGCUCGUUCACAUCUCACGCGGAUGGGGCGACGCACGAGCGCACAUGCUGGGACCCGAAAGAUGGUGAACUAUGGCUGGUCAGGAUGAAGCCAGAGGAAACUCUGGUGGAAGUCCGUAGCGAUUCUGACGUGCAAAUCGAUCGUCAAAGCUGGCUAUAGGGGCGAAAGACUAAUCGAACCAUCUAGUAGCUGGUUCCCUCCGAAGUUUCCCUCAGGAUAGCUGGCGCUCUCGCAAGCAGUUUCAUCCGGUAAAGCGAAUGAUUAGAGGCAUUGGGGACGAAACGACCUCAACCUAUUCUCAAACUUUCAAUGGGUGAGAAGCCCGACUCGCUUGUUUGGAGUCGGGCGUCGAAUGUGAGUGCCUAGUGGGCCAUUUUUGGUAAGCAGAAUUGGCGCUGUGGGAUGAACCAAACGCUCGGUUAAGGCGCCGAACGACGACGCUCAUCAGAUACCAUAAAAGGUGUUGAUUGAUCCAGACAGCAGGUCGGUGGCCAUGGAAGUCGGAAUCCGCUAAGGAGUGUGUAACAACUCACCUGCCGAAUCAAUUAGCCCUGAAAAUGGAUGGCGCUAGAGCGUCGGGCCUAUACCGUGCCGUUGUCGCACGCGUGCAGUGCAACAGCCGUCGACUGUCAUGCGACAACGAGUAGGAGGGUCGCGGCGGUACGCAUAGAAGCCGUGAGCGUGAGCUCGGGUCGAGCUGCCGCCGGUGCAGAUCUUGGUGGUAGUAGCAAGUAUUCAAAAGAGAACUUUGAAGGCCGAAGUGGAGAAGGGUUCCAUGUGAACAGCAGUUGAACAUGGGUCAGUCGAUCCUAAGAGAAGGGAAAACUCCGUUCAGAAAUCGGAACUGCGCUCUCGAGCGCGCUUCGUUGUCCGAUGUGAAUCGAAAGGGAAUCGGGUUAAUAUUCCCGAACUCGGCGCGGAGAUUGGUCCUCCGGGCCACGAGCGGUAACGCAAACAAACUCGGAGACGUUGGCACUAGCCCCGGGAAGAGAUGCCUUUUCUUUGUAAGGGUCAGACUCCAUGGAAUCGGUUCGACCGGCGAGAUGGACGUUGUACCCGUAAAGCACCGCGGUUCCUGCAGUGUCCGGUGCGCUCGUGCCGACCCUUGAAAAUCCGAGGGAGUCGUAAUAAUGUUCGUGCCGAACCGUACCCAUAUCCGCAUCAGGUCUCCAAGGUCAACAGCCUCUGGCCAACUGAAUAAUGCAGGCAAGGGAAGUCGGCAAACUAGAUCCGUAACUUCGGGAAAAGGAUUGGCUCUAAGGGCUGGGCUUGUCGGGCUGUAGCACGAAGCGAGAAUCGGACCGGAGUGGGGCUGAUCUUUGCCGGGCGUCCCGCUGCGUGACUGCGUCGCUCCGCGGCGUACGCUGCGCGGCGGCGCCGGGCGUCGAUCGGACCGUUACCGGGACGAGCUCGUGAACUGCUGCAGCUACGGGGUGCGUCUCGUGCGUGCCCUUCGGCAGGCGCUUAACAGCCAACUAGA